UACGUAGGGUGCAAGCGUUGUCCGGAAUUAUUGGGCGUAAAGAGCUCGUAGGCGGUUUGUUGCGUCGGCUGUGAAAUCCCGAGGCUCAACCUCGGGUCUGCAGUCGAUACGAGCAAACUAGAGUGUUGCAGGGGAGACUGGAAUUCCUGGUGUAGCGGUGAAAUGCGCAGAUAUCAGGAGGAACACCGGUGGCGAAGGCGGGUCUCUGGGCAUUAACUGACGCUGGAGGAGCGAAAGCAUGGGGAGCGAACAGGAUAGAAACCCUGGGUA
rnacentral:rRNA from 1 species